GUGAACCUGCGGAAGGAUCAUUAUUGAAAUAAACCUGAUGGGUUGUUGCUGGUUCUCCAGGGAGCAUGUGCACGCCUUGUCAUCUUUAUAUCUCCACCUGUGCACUUUUUGUAGACCUUUUCAGGUCUAUGUUGCUUCAUUUACCCCAAUGUAUGUUAAUAGAAUGUUGUGCCUAUAUAAUAUAUACAACUUUCAGCAACGGAUCUCUUGGCUCUCGCAUCGAUGAAGAACGCAGCGAAAUGCGAUAAGUAAUGUGAAUUGCAGAAUUCAGUGAAUCAUCGAAUCUUUGAACGCACCUUGCGCUCCUUGGUAUUCCGAGGAGCAUGCCUGUUUGAGUGUCAUUAAUAUAUAUAUCAACCUUCUCUUUGUUGAGUGGCUUGGAUGUGGGGGUUUGCUGGUGGCCUCUUAGGAGGGUUCAGCUCCCCUGAAAUGCAUUAGCAGAACAAACCUGUUCAUUGGUGUGAUAACUAUCUACGCUAUUGAAUGUGAGGGGCAGUUCAGCUUUCUAACGGUCCUUUGGGACAGAUUCAUCAUUAAUGUGACCUCAAAUCAGGUAGGACU
rnacentral:rRNA from 1 species